rnacentral:rRNA from 2 species
AUACAUGCAAGUCGAGCGGACAGAAGGGAGCUUGCUCCCGGAUGUUAGCGGCGGACGGGUGAGUAACACGUGGGUAACCUGCCUGUAAGACUGGGAUAACUCCGGGAAACCGGAGCUAAUACCGGAUAGUUCCUUGAACCGCAUGGUUCAAGGAUGAAAGACGGUUUCGGCUGUCACUUACAGAUGGACCCGCGGCGCAUUAGCUAGUUGGUGAGGUAACGGCUCACCAAGGCGACGAUGCGUAGCCGACCUGAGAGGGUGAUCGGCCACACUGGGACUGAGACACGGCCCAGACUCCUACGGGAGGCAGCAGUAGGGAAUCUUCCGCAAUGGACGAAAGUCUGACGGAGCAACGCCGCGUGAGUGAUGAAGGUUUUCGGAUCGUAAAGCUCUGUUGUUAGGGAAGAACAAGUGCAAGAGUAACUGCUUGCACCUUGACGGUACCUAACCAGAAAGCCACGGCUAACUACGUGCCAGCAGCCGCGGUAAUACGUAGGUGGCAAGCGUUGUCCGGAAUUAUUGGGCGUAAAGGGCUCGCAGGCGGUUUCUUAAGUCUGAUGUGAAAGCCCCCGGCUCAACCGGGGAGGGUCAUUGGAAACUGGGAAACUUGAGUGCAGAAGAGGAGAGUGGAAUUCCACGUGUAGCGGUG